rnacentral:rRNA from 1 species
AUUGAACGCUGGCGGCAGGCCUAACACAUGCAAGUCGAGCGGAUGAAGGGAGCUUGCUCCUGGAUUCAGCGGCGGACGGGUGAGUAAUGCCUAGGAAUCUGCCUGGUAGUGGGGGAUAACGUCCGGAAACGGGCGCUAAUACCGCAUACGUCCUGAGGGAGAAAGUGGGGGAUCUUCGGACCUCACGCUAUCAGAUGAGCCUAGGUCGGAUUAGCUAGUUGGUGGGGUAAAGGCCUACCAAGGCGACGAUCCGUAACUGGUCUGAGAGGAUGAUCAGUCACACUGGAACUGAGACACGGUCCAGACUCCUACGGGAGGCAGCAGUGGGGAAUAUUGGACAAUGGGCGAAAGCCUGAUCCAGCCAUUCCGCGUGUGUGAAGAAGGUCUUCGGAUUGUAAAGCACUUUAAGUUGGGAGGAGGGGCAGUAAGUUAAUACCUUGCUGUUUUGACGUUACCAACAGAAUAAGCACCGGCUAACUUCGUG